ensembl:lncRNA
CGCAAUUACUUAAUUCUACCAAUCAGACUGCUCGUCCCGCCCCGACAGGGUGAAGGUGGUCUUUAUGUCUGAGCCACCACCCACCCCCUUACCAUUGGCCGUCGGCAACCGCUUCUUCAGUUGAUUGGACAAAGUGGAUGUCCAUCAGUGUCACGACGUUCCGCGGUAAGGAGAGGUGAAACCAGAAAGACAACUUCCCUCCGAAGGGUAGACGGGCCUGCUGGGAUACUGAGGGAGGACUGGGUCAGGCGCUGGGCGGGGUUUUCGCAGCUCCGCGGAACGCCGGGAAAGGGUCACGUCCAGAUGAGGGAUCCGGUUCCGGUGCAGACGGCGGCCUCGGCGUUGCCGCGGCAGUGCGGUUGGCCGGUACCUGGGUGGUGAGCUCGCGUUGUUGGAGGGGCUGGAGUUGUUCUCGGUCCUGUGUUGUCCGCUUAGACUUCGACUUCAUUCACCGCUGCAGCUUCAGUAUUGAAAACGGGUGCUCACGUUGGUGACAAGAGUGACCGCCGAAGAGCGGGGCUCCGUGAAAUCGCCGCGUGAUCUGUAGUCUCGGCGUCGCACUGGGUUGAUGGUACCCUGGAGCAUCCCAGACUUGCAGAGAAAGCAUCCUCCAGAGGAAGCUGAGAGUCAUUGAUUCCAGGUAAAUCAGAGGAACAGACAUCAUGAACAGAAAUAAUACAGGAAGUGAUGUGAUGCCGAAGUUUAACUGUUGUUCCAGAAGUCCAGCAUCUGUGGCUCAUAACUUUAGGAACUGUAUCAUUUGCAAGGUCACCUAACUUUUACUCAUAUUGGGUUGGCCAGAAAGUUCACUCAGUUUUCCUGUAAGCUGAGAGAACCCGCACGGACUUUUUGGCCAACCCAAUACAGUAAGUUUUGUUUGUUUGUUUUUGUUUUUUUUUAAAUAAAUAUUGACAGUUUGUUCCAGAAAACCUAAAUUGUAAAUUGCCUACUCUAAGCUGCCUGAUUCUCUGCUUGUGUUCACUGGAAUAGGGAGAAGAAUUUGCAAACUGAUUAUGUGAGGGUCCGAAAUGUAAAAC